rnacentral:rRNA from 1 species
UCACAUGCAGUCGAGCGCCCCGCAAGGGGAGCGGCAGACGGGUGAGUAACGCGUGGGAAUGAACCCUUUUCUACGGAAUAACGCAGGGAAACUUGUGCUAAUACCGUAUAAGCCCUUCGGGGGAAAGAUUUAUCGGGAAAGGAUGAGCCCGCGUUGGAUUAGCUAGUUGGUGGGGUAAAGGCCUACCAAGGCGACGAUCCAUAGCUGGUCUGAGAGGAUGAUCAGCCACAUUGGGACUGAGACACGGCCCAAACUCCUACGGGAGGCAGCAGUGGGGAAUAUUGGACAAUGGGCGCAAGCCUGAUCCAGCCAUGCCGCGUGAGUGAUGAAGGCCCUAGGGUUGUAAAGCUCUUUCACCGGUGAAGAUAAUGACGGUAACCGGAGAAGAAGCCCCGGCUAACUUCGUGCCAGCAGCCGCGGUAAUACGAAGGGGGCUAGCGUUGUUCGGAAUUACUGGGCGUAAAGCGCACGUAGGCGGACAUUUAAGUCAGGGGUGAAAUCCCGGGGCUCAACCCCGGAACUGCCUUUGAUACUGGGUGUCUAGAGUAUGGAAGAGGUGAGUGGAAUUCCGAGUGUAGAGGUGAAAUUCGUAGAUAUUCGGAGGAACACCAGUGGCGAAGGCGGCUCACUGGUCCAUUACUGACGCUGAGGUGCGAAAGCGUGGGGAGCAACAGGAUUAGAUACCCUGGUAGUCCACGCCGUAACGAUGAA